GUUUGGUGGCCCUCAGGGUGUCUCUGCUGGGCUUGUCUGAGGGUCUUGGUGUCUGUUCUUGUCGCUGUUUUUGUCACCUGUUCUUGUCACCAUUCUUGUCCCCUGUUCUUGUCACCAUUCUUGUCCCCAUUCUUGUCCCCUGUUCUUGUCCCCAUCCUUGUCCCCUGUUCUUGUCACCAACCUUGUCCCUGUUUUUGUCCCCGUUCUUGUCCCCCCAUUCUUGUCCCCAUUCUUGUCCCUUGUUCUUGUCCCCAUCCUUGUCCCCUGUCCCCCAUUCCCACUGUCCCACUCCCCUGUCCUUGUCAUCAACCCCGUUGUCCCCUGUCCCUGUCCCUGUCCCCUGUUCUUGUCCCCAGCCUUGUCCUGUCAUUGUCCCCAACCUUGUCCCCAUCCUUGUCCCCUGUCCCCCAUUCCCACUGUCCCACUCCCUUGUCCUCUGUCCUUGUCCUCAACCCCAUUCUUGUCCCCAUCCUUGGCCCCAUCCCUGUCCUGUCCCUGUCCCUGUCCCCUCCCUGUCCGUGUCCCUGUCC
rnacentral:lncRNA from 1 species